GACCAUGUAGCUCAGUUGGCAGAGCAUUGGGCUAGUAUUCCAAAGGUCGUAGGUUCGAUUCCCACCGUGGCCG
rnacentral:tRNA from 1 species